AUGGCAAUUGUCCAUACAUACGGGAAGCCUGCCAUCUUCUUGACCAUGACUUGCAAUCCUAAAUGGGAAGAGAUAACGAAUGAGUUGCUGCCUGGUCAGAUGGCGCAAGACCGACCUGAUCUUGUGGCUCGCGUGUUCUUCGACAAACUAGAGGCUAUGAAGGACAUGUUGUUCAAGAAGCACAUCCUGGGUGUUGUUGUCGCAUAUGUGUAUGUUGUCGAGUUUCAAAAAAGGGGCCUCCCACAUGCACAUUUUUUGUUGAUUAUGGACUCAACAUAUAAGCUUAUCGUCCCGGAGCAGUAUGACCGUCUCAUUUCCGCAGAGCUCCGAGACAAGCAUAAGUAUCCGGAAUUGUAUGCAAUGGUGGUAAAACAUAUGAUGCACGGACCAUGCGGUGCUCUCAACCCGAAGAAUGUUUGCAUGCAAGAAAACGGAUGCAAGUGCAGAUACUCGCGGCCGUUCAAUGAGAACACAGCACAGGGGAAGGACUCGUACCCAGUUUAUCGACGUAGAGAUGAUGGAAGGAGUGCUAAGGUCUGA
rnacentral:rRNA from 1 species